UGGGGAAUAUUGGACAAUGGACCAAAAGUCUGAUCCAGCAAUUCUGUGUGCACGAUGACGUUUUUCGGAAUGUAAAGUGCUUUCAGUUGGGAAGAAAAAAAUGACGGUACCAACAGAAGAAGUGACGGCUAAAUACGUGCCAGCAGCCGCGGUAAUACGUAUGUCACAAGCGUUAUCCGGAUUUAUUGGGCGUAAAGCGCGUCUAGGUGGUUAUGUAAGUCUGAUGUGAAAAUGCAGGGCUCAACUCUGUAUUGCGUUGGAAACUGCAUGACUAGAGUACUGGAGAGGUAAGCGGAACUACAAGUGUAGAGGUGAAAUUCGUAGAUAUUUGUAGGAAUGCCGAUGGGGAGGCCAGCUUACUGGACAGAUACUGACGCUAAAGCGCGAAAGCGUGGGUAGCAAACAGGAUUAGAUACCCUGGUAGUCCACGCCGUAAACGAUGAUUACUAGGUGUUGGGGGUCGAACCUCAGCGCCCAAGCUAACGCGAUAAGUAAUCCGCCUGGGGAGUACGUACGCAAGUAUG
rnacentral:rRNA from 1 species